rnacentral:rRNA from 1 species
GACACCUUAAUCCAACAUCGAGGUCGCAAACCCUUCUUUCAAUGUGAACUCUCCAGAAAGAUUACGCUGUUAUCCCUGUGGUAACUUUUUCCGAUAAUCAACAAUGCUGGAUCACUUGUUAGUAAACCAAAAUUCUACAAAUUAACAGAGAAGCUUUUCAUGUUCCCUAGUCACCCCAACUAAAGAUGUAAGAAUAAAUUCAAAAUCCUCUAUUCUAAUAGAAACAACCCCUUUAUUCCACACUAAAGCUCAACAGGGUCUUCUCGUCCCUCAGCUAAAUCUAAGCCUUUUCACUUAGAAGUUAAUUUUUAAAUAUUCCAGGAGAGACAGCUCAGCCCUCGUCAAACCAUUCAUACCAGCCUCCAAUUAAAAGGCAAGUGAUUGUGCUACCUUUGCACGGUCAGUGUACCGCGGCCGUUU